CAGCUAGUUGGUAGGGUAAUGGCCUACCAAGGCGAAGAUCGGUAUCCGGCCUGAGAGGGCGCACGGACACACUGGAACUGAAACACGGUCCAGACUCCUACGGGAGGCAGCAGUGGGGAAUUUUGCGCAAUGGGGGAAACCCUGACGCAGCAACGCCGCGUGGAGGAUGAAGCUCCUUGGAGUGUAAACUCCUUUCGACCGGGACGAUAAUGACGGUACCGGUGGAAGAAGCACCGGCUAACUCUGUGCCAGCAGCCGCGGUAAUACAGAGGGUGCGAGCGUUGUUCGGAAUUAUUGGGCGUAAAGGGCGCGUAAGCGGUGCGGUAAGUCACCUGUGAAAUCCCCGGGCUUAACUCGGGGCCUGCAGGCGAAACUGCCGUGCUGGAGGGUGGGAGAGGUGCGUGGAAUUACCUGAGUAUCAAUGAA
rnacentral:rRNA from 1 species